rnacentral:pre_miRNA from 1 species
AGUGCAGUUGCUGGAUCAUAUGGUAAGAGGAUGUUUGUAAGAAACUCCCAAAUUGUCUUCCAAAGUGGCUGUACUAUUUUGCAUUUCCUCCAGCAAU